rnacentral:rRNA from 1 species
AGUGAACGCUGGCGGUAGGCCUAACACAUGCAAGUCGAACGGCAGCACAGUAAGAGCUUGCUCUUACGGGUGGCGAGUGGCGGACGGGUGAGGAAUACAUCGGAAUCUACUUUUUCGUGGGGGAUAACGUAGGGAAACUUACGCUAAUACCGCAUACGACCUACGGGUGGAAGCAGGGGAUCUUCGGACCUUGCGCGAUUGAAUGAGCCGAUGUCGGAUUAGCUAGUUGGCGGGGUAAAGGCCCACCAAGGCGACGAUCCGUAGCUGGUCUGAGAGGAUGAUCAGCCACACUGGAACUGAGACACGGUCCAGACUCCUACGGGAGGCAGCAGUAGGGAAUAUUGGACAAUGGGCGCAAGCCUGAUCCAGCCAUACCGCGUGGGUGAAGAAGGCCUUCGGGUUGUAAAGCCCUUUUGUUGGGAAAGAAAAGCAGCAGGUUAAUACCCCGCUGUUCUGACGGUACCCAAAGAAUAAGCACCGGCUAACUUCGUG